AGUAGGAUGCCUGAUUUAAGGAUUAUUUUGAUAGAAUAAACAAGUAUAAUUUUAUACUCCUAUUG
rnacentral:tRNA from 1 species